rnacentral:rRNA from 1 species
AGUCGAACGAAGCAAUUAAGAUGAAGUUUUCGGAUGGAAUCUUGAUUGACUGAGUGGCGGACGGGUGAGUAACGCGUGGAUAACCUGCCUCACACUGGGGGAUAACAGUUAGAAAUGACUGCUAAUACCGCAUAAGCGCACAGUGCCGCAUGGCAGUGUGUGAAAAACUCCGGUGGUGUGAGAUGGAUCCGCGUCUGAUUAGCCAGUUGGCGGGGUAACGGCCCACCAAAGCGACGAUCAGUAGCCGACCUGAGAGGGUGACCGGCCACAUUGGGACUGAGACACGGCCCAAACUCCUACGGGAGGCAGCAGUGGGGAAUAUUGCACAAUGGGCGAAAGCCUGAUGCAGCGACGCCGCGUGAGUGAAGAAGUAUUUCGGUAUGUAAAGCUCUAUCAGCAGGGAAGAAAAUGACGGUACCUGACUAAGAAGCCCCGGCUAACUACGUGCCAGCAGCCGCGGUAAUACGUAGGGGGCAAGCGUUAUCCGGAUUUACUGGGUGUAAAGGGAGCGUAGACGGCGAAGCAAGUCUGAAGUGAAAACCCAGGGCUCAACCCUGGGACUGCUUUGGAAACUGUUUUGCUAGAGUGUCGGAGAGGUAAGUGGAAUUCCUAGUGUAGCGGUGAAAUGCGUAGAUAUUAGGAGGACACCAGCGGCGAAGGCGGCUUACUGGACGAUAACUGACGUU